UCAACAACCAAACAAUAAACCCAACAAUUCUAACAAUCCAAAAAUAUAAAACUUAACAAUUUCAACAAUAAGCAUAUAAAUGUAUAAAACCUAUCAAUUUUAAUAGUUAGACAUCAUAAAAUCCUACAACUCUUAUAAUCCAACAAAACCAGUUCUCGAACAACCAAGCAAAACUCAAUGAGGUGACCUACCUCUGCCCAAAAGCAAUGGCCAAUGAGGCUUUGAUGGAGACAAUAGAAAAUCUUAAUUCAUUGAUAGAAGAGUAAAGGUGAUUGUUGACUGGAGACAAACUAGCUGUGGA
rnacentral:misc_RNA from 1 species